rnacentral:rRNA from 1 species
UACGAAGGGGGCUAGCGUUGCUCGGAAUCACUGGGCGUAAAGGGUGCGUAGGCGGGGUUUUAAGUCAGGGGUGAAAUCCUGGAGCUCAACUCCAGAACUGCCUUUGAUACUGAAGAUCUUGAGUCCGGGAGAGGUGAGUGGAACUGCGAGUGUAGAGGUGAAAUUCGUAGAUAUUCGCAAGAACACCAGUGGCGAAGGCGGCUCACUGGCCCGAUACUGACGCUGAGGCACGAAAGCGUGGGGAGCAAACAGG